GUCCCCUCUGACUUCAAGUUGGCCAGGGUCGCUCCCUUCCUCGAGCCCGCUGACAUCAAAAACAACCUUUCUUUGAUUUCUAAAACACUUCGGCGUGCUCUCUCUGACAAACUUUCUCACAAUCUGUCUCAGAAUGAUCUUCUGGACCCUAACAAGUCAGUCUUCAAGACGGAUCAUUCAACCAAGACUGCUCUUCUCUGUGUCACAGAGGAUCUCCGCUCUACCAAAUCUGACUCUCUCUCCUCUGUUCUCAUCCUCCUAGAUCUAUCCGUUGCCUUCAACAACGUGAACCAUCAGAUCCUCCUCUCCACCCUCUCAGGGCUGGGUGUCUCAGACUCUAUCAGAUCCUCCUCUCCACUCUCUCAGGGCUGGGUGUCUCAGACUCUAUCAGAUCCUCCUCUCCACCCUCUCAGGGCUGGGUGUCUCAAACUCUAUCAGAUCCUCCUCUCCACUCUCUCAGGGCUGGGUGUCUCAGACUCUAUCAGAUCCUCCUCUCCACCCUCUCAGGGCUGUGCAUCUCAGACUCUAUCAGAUCCUCCUCUCCACCCUCUCAGGGCUGUGCAUCUCAGACUCUAUCAGAUCCUCCUCUCCACCCUCUCAGGGCUGGGUGUCUCAGACUCUAUCAGAUCCUCCUCUCCACCCUCUCAGGGCUGGGUGUCUCAGACUCUAUCAGAUCCUCCUCUCCACCCUCUCAGGGCUGAGUGUCUCAGACUCAGCACACUCCUGGUGGCGUGGAUAGUAUCUGUACCACGUAUUGUCACUGGCGUCCCGCUCUCCUCUCCUCUCUAUAGACCAAGUCACUGGUCAUAUCCUCACAUGGUCUCUCCUAUGCAUCUCUGUGUGCCUGUCAGAUAUCUCAGCUUGGAUUUGGACCCUUCCACCCAGGGAAGGCCUGCCCAGUCCAAGACCACUCAAUCUCGGUUGACAACUACACGGUGUCCCCCUCCCAGUGUGCAAAGAAACACCCUGUCCAAACAGAACUGUGCAAACAACAACCAUACCUCACACAGGAAGCAGAACAUCCAUAGAGUAUGA
rnacentral:lncRNA from 1 species